rnacentral:tRNA from 1 species
GCAGUGGUGGUUCAGUGAUAGAAUUCUCACUCAUCAUGCAGUGAACCCAGGUUCGAUUCCUGGCCAGUGCC